GGUCUGGUGGCCUAGUGGUUAGAAUGUCCGCCUCGAAUGCGGGAGGUCGUGAGUUCGAACCCCGGCCGAGUCA